AACGAACGUUAGCGGCGCGCUUAAUACAUGCAAGUCGAACGAGAAAGGGCUUCGGCCCCAGUAAAGUGGCGCACGGGUGAGUAACACGUAGGUCAUCUACCCUUGGGUGGUGGACAACUCUUCGAAAGAGGAGCUAAUACAGCAUAUUCCGGCAGUGUUUUCACUGUCGGUAAAGCGAGCCUCUCUAUAGAAGCUCGCGCCUGAGGAUGAGCCUGCGGCGCAUCAGCUUGUUGGUGGGGUAAAAGCCUACCAAGGCUUAGACGCGUAGCUGGUCUGAGAGGAUGGACAGCCACACUGGAACUGAGACACGGUCCAG
rnacentral:rRNA from 1 species